ACUACGGGUGGCAGCAGUGGGGAAUAUUGGGCAAUGGGCGCAAGCCUGACCCAGCAACGCCGCGUGAAGGAAGAAGGCUUUCGGGUUGUAAACUUCUUUUAUCAGGGACGAAGCAAGUGACGGUACCUGAUGAAUAAGCCACGGCUAACUACGUGCCAGAAGCCGCGGUAAUACGUAGGUGGCAAGCGUUAUCCGGAUUUACUGGGUGUAAAGGGGGUGUAGGCGGGAGUGCAAGUCAGAUGUGAAAACUAUGGGCUCAACCCAUAGCCUGCAUUUGAAACUGUACUUCUUGAGUGCUGGAGAGGCAAUCGGAAUUCCGUGUGUAGCGGUGAAAUGCGUAGAUAUACGGAGGAACACCAGUGGCGAAGGCGGAUUGCUGUACAGUAACUGACGCUGAGGCGCGAAAGCGUGGGGAGCAAACAGGAUUAGAUACCCGGGUAGUC
rnacentral:rRNA from 1 species